rnacentral:rRNA from 1 species
GACGAACGCUGGCGGCGUGCUUAACACAUGCAAGUCGAACGGAAAGGCCCUGCUUUUGUGGGGUGCUCGAGUGGCGAACGGGUGAGUAACACGUGAGUAACCUGCCCUUGACUUUGGGAUGACUUCAGGAAACUGGGGCUAAUACCGGAUAGGAGCUCCUGCUGCAUUGUGGGGGUUGGAAAGUUUCGGCGGUUGGGGAUGGACUCGCGGCUUAUCAGCUUGUUGGUGGGGUAGUGGCUUACCAAGGCUUUGACCGGUAGCUGGCCUGAGAGGGUGACCGGCCACACGGGAACGGAGACACGGGCCAGACUGCUACGGGAGGCAGCAGUGGGGAAUAUUGGACAACGGGCGCGAGCCUGAUCCAGCCAUACCGCGGGGGUGAAGAAGGCCUUCGGGUGGUAAAGCCCGUGUGUUGGGAAAGAAAAGCAGCAGGUUAAUAACCCGCGGUUCUGACGGUACCCAAAGAAUAAGCACCGGCUAACUUCGUG